ensembl:lncRNA
UUAUUACCAGCGCCAGGGAGGAAGUUUCUACCAGCGGGGAUUAUGCGCAGUUUCCUUGCCCAGAAGCUUUUGGGCUUUGUCCCCUCCCACUCUUGAAAAGCAGCGAUUCCACAAACUAGAGGUGGUGGGAAGGGAGGGGGGUGGGGGGUUAGUAAAAAAAAAAAAAAAAAAAAAAGCGGGGCAAACUUAAACCUGCUCCUUUUGCUAUGCCUUUUUCUCCCUCCUCGCUUUUUACGGAGCUAGAAGAAGGAGCACGUUUCGGCCGCGUUUUUGUACACCGGGCGGCACAGAAGUGCAUUGUGUUGGGACCGGAGCAGGGAGGGAGGAGGAGGAGGGUGCUGGAGGAGCACAGCUGCACGGCGCACAAGAGCCGGCAUCUCAGCCUGACAGGCAGGCGAGCAGCAAGAGGGAGAGAGCGAAACGAGGGCUCUUCCGCCGCACUCUUUGAGGGGGUUCCUCUCCGUCCAGCGUUCGCCCCCACCAACCCGACAAACUCACCAUUCCCCCACGUUACAGCAGCUCCGUCCGGGAUUUUUAUUUAUUUAUUUAAUUGUUUUCAAAUCAAAGCACUGAAAUGUGGAAUGGACGCGGACAAGAGAAAGGAUUCUGUUCUCCUCUUCUGUGGCUGGCUACUCAAAUUCAGUACAAGAAAUGGCACUAAGGAGCUUUCUCCCUCACACAGUCCCUCACCGGGCGAGCCAUAAAAGAGAUGAUGUCAUGUCUGAGCCGGAGACUGUGUGGCCAUUCGCAGUGAUCCGUUUCUUAUUCAGCUCACUUGAAUGGCACAAAGCUGAGUGAAAGGGAUUGAGAAAAGGAUUGGAACCCCCAACAAAUUUACCACCGGCCCCAGGCUGCACACGGUUCCCAAUCUGGCUGGAUGUAAAUGAAAACGUUUGUUCGCAAAAAUAACUGGACGAAGGGCCGAAUCUUUCCAAAAGAAGAUGAACGCCCAUUUUUUUUAGCCUGCCAUGCUGUUAGAAAUUACACUGCUGGGUUUAAACAACGGUUUCUGAAUUUGUAGCUGGACAGAAGCACAAAGGAAUAUUUGUAGUACGUGUAACGGUGCAGAAGAGUCGUUGCUGUCAUGAUGAUGCUGUACAGUCCAAUGCAGUGCUACACAGCAGACUGGACUGUGAUAUCACUUCCUCCUCAUUAGUAAGGCCACGACAGGGGCUCGUUGGAAGGGAAGUCAUAUCUCCUUGUUUCAGAGGCGCGGGCUGUUCGUCCUGGCCCGUCUGAAACCACCAGGCUUCUUUUAACUUGCUCAGUGCUGUCCUUUUGAUGGCCAGACUGACAGGGUGGGGGUACAUGCCGAGGCAGUCUUCAUUAG